rnacentral:misc_RNA from 1 species
AACCUUAUGGACCUGCGGGCGUAUACCUGCGGAGGGAUCAUUACCGAGUUUACAACUCCCAAACCCCUGUGAACAUACCUAUAUGUUGCCUCGGCGGAUCAGCCCGCGCCCCGUAAAACGGGACGGCCCGCCGCAGGAUCCACAAACUCUGUUUUUAUUGUAACUUCUGAGUAACAAAACAAAUAAAUCAAAACUUUUAACAAUGGAUCU